GAGAGAGAGAGAGAGAGAGUUAAAUGCAAAUAUGCAACAUCAGCAACAAGUCCAAUUCAUGAAGGAAAAACUCUAUAUUUCAUUUCUCCAUUACUUAUGGACAUAGGGAAAUAAAGUUUCCAAAAUAAUUUACAAUUUCAAGCAAGAUACAGCUUAGGCCAAAAAAAAAGGGAGGUCAAAAUGUAUUACGGGUUAACAAUUGUCCACUCAUUUUCAUCUGGACUACUAGGACUUGUGUCACUCGCGGAUGCACUCUCAGGCUUAGGAGGCUUCUUAGAAAACAAAGAUGAUUUGCCAUCAAAGAAAUUAGAGAAUGGUUGACGAGGUGAAAUCUCUGAAUUCGUAUCUUUAAAUGACUGUUUUCUCAGGUUUCUAUCCUUGCUGCCAAAGUUCAGGCCAAGCUUCUUAAACCUACUUUUGGGUUCACCUGCAGUGACAGCGGUGGUUCCUUCCGUCUGGUUUACCGCCUUUAGGACUUCCUCAGGAUUGAGCAGUAUUUUCUCCAUUGUUUCAUACACCUGGCAGAGAUCAUCCACUUUUUCACUCCAGCUGCUUCCUUGCUUAGUGAAAACAAUAUAGUCUUUGCACUCGUUAAAUAGCUUUGACAAAUCAUUGUUGCUGGAGAGUUUAGACUCAGCCAUUACAAAUCCUAAUCCAAGCUGAAAUUUUCAGAACAAUGGACAUUGUUAGCACCACAAACAUAUAUGUUGACUGAUUGAGAAUUUGCAAUUAAUGGACUUGCUUACCUUUAUAUAUAUAUGGCCUAGACUUCCAUCAUGCUUAUAUAAUAGUAUUAAAAAAGAAUUGAUAAAAUAUGAAUUUCCACUGGAAACUGAAGGCAAGCAAAUUAAAAAUUCUGAUGAUGAUUCAUAAUAACAUGCUUAAACAACUGAUCCAGAAAUCACACCUGAACAGACAUAAGUUUUCCCUGUUUUUCUCUAGAACAAUAGUAAAUGAGCCAUAUUGGAUAUUAAGAAAUACAGGAUAUUUAUCAUACCAUAGACUGACAAACCCACAUAAUAAAAUUUGAUUAGAUAACUUACCAAAGAAAUAAACAGCUGCUCAAACAACUCGGAAGGUGAGAGUUCCUCUAAAUCGUGCAGAAUACCCUCCACUGCCAAAUCCUCAUCAAACAGGGGAGCCUGUUUAAUAGCUGGUACUGCUUUGGCUGUUUCCCACAGUUCACGCCACAAGUUACCUUCCUUUUGCAUUCGCCUACUUAGUUGACCUCUUGUAGAAGAUGCAUCACCUCCCUCAUAAAACUCAUUAGCCUCAUCAAGAAUAUCUGUCCAGUCUGGAGGAGAGUGCCAUCUUACAAAAUCUUCCAAGAUACAACCAGGAUUUGCAGCCUUGAAGGCCUGCAUGUCAGAGAGGAGUUGUGAACAUCCAGCACCAACACUGAUGAAAAGAAAUAAGCAAAUUAUCAAAGCAUGCGCUAACUUAAUUACUUUCCUGUGUCAACAAUUUAUAGCAUAUUGAGCAAAAACGAUACUUAUGAUAAUAUGGCUGAUUCUUCGUAAACUAUUUGAUCUAUAGCCAACCACAUGCAUACAUGGCCAAGAAAUUUAAUCAGCAAUAUUACAAUAAUCCACUUCAUGAUUAUUGAAGAAUAUGAAAAGGCACCAAAUCUUAAAAACAAAAAAAAUAAUAAUAAAGAUGUCUAGAAUCCGGAAUCAGGACAUCAUGAAAAGGUGCAAAAAGAAGGAAACUUCAUAAAAUAUUUUAAAGGAAACAGGUCAAAAUCUAAAAAUAAUUAAUUGAGUCAAGUAUGAAAUACAAAAUAAACUAACCUCCCAGUUCGAAGCACAAACUCCUCAUUUUCUCUAAUAAGAUCUUCAGUAAGCAAAGGCCCUUCCUGUGUUAUGGGAGAGUAUACUGGUUCACCUGUUUCCAAAAUGGUUAAAUUGUCAGCUGGCCGAUCAGUGCCCAACCGAAGGACAUUUUCCCCAUUGCUCAAUCUAGCAUACAAGAUAUGGCUUGAGCUGACUGUCCCGUUAGAAAUAGAUGACUGUUCAGCAGGUAAACUGGCAUCCCUCAUUACCAAUUCUAGUGAUUCAGUGGCAAGAAUGUGACGCCUUUUCCUGGAAACACAGCAAUUGAUAACCUGAAAUUUCUGGUAUAAAAGACAGGAAUUUAGAUCUGGAAGAUUAUCCAAAGGGAUUCCAGGCAUAUGUAGUUCUUCAGACCAGAGUCUUCUCAUUUCAGCCACAAUUUUGCACCAUAUGAAUGCCAUUUUCCGCAAGGUUUUAAAGCUUCCAAUUACUUCGGAUAGCUUGACAAGCAAGCUCUCAGGAGGAGCACCAUGAAUGUCUUUGGGCAAAGAUAAUGCUUCCAAACCAGAGCUGAUGUUUCUUCUGAGAAACUCUCCCUCUGCGAAUAUCUACAUCAAACAGUGAACGUAUCAAGGACAAAACCUUUUCAUCAUCACCACCAAACUCAGAUGCAAGCUUAUCCUCCUUCUCACGAAGCACUAAUGACUUCACUGCAGCAAGGCUCAAGCUUGCUCUCUCCAUGAUAGGUGAAGAGCCUCCAGAUGAUGCCAAAAUAUCUUUCAUUGACUUGUACUUCUUUCCAGCAUCAAUAGCUAUAGCCAACUGUUUCAAGACAGAUGUUGGAGGAAUGGUAUCUGGGUUGGUAGAAUAUAGCCUUUCUACUAUCGCAGACACUUGUGAACCCUUUGCCUCUACAUCAUUUUUCACGUUCAGUAUGCAGGAAUUUUCAUCAUAAAAUGGAACAGCUGUGGUUGGAUUUUCAACUUUCUCUGUAUGAUUUUCAGCUCCUUUCUUUCCAAUUCUUAUGUUCUUGAACCUAUCUUGCCACUCCUGUUUUGUCCCUAUAUGUGCAGGUCUCCACCUCAAAUGCUUCCCUUCAUUAUUACUCUUUGACUCAAUUUCAUUUUUAAGAGACUCAUCUUCUAAUUGCUUCCUCUUUUCAUUCGGCGGUUGCUUAUCCGAAUCUGCUCGAUCGGAUACAAAGUCGGAUUUGAUAUCAGUGAAAACUCGCUCCGCUUUAGCAGCAGCAGAAUGGAAGGCGGUCCUUGCUUUCGAGACAAAAGAAGGCGCCUCCAUAUCCUUCACAGAGUGUGAGUAGGUUAAGAUUGAAGAAAUUGCUGAUUGCUAGAGAUGAAUGAAAAUGAAAGACGAAAAUGCAGGCAUGUCUUAAGGAGAUAGCAGAUUUGGGAAGGUGACAUCUCAGGAGAAGAGAAUCGAGGGAUUCGAAUAAACUUGCUCCACUUUUUGAAUUUUUU
rnacentral:misc_RNA from 1 species